rnacentral:misc_RNA from 1 species
AGACAUAUCUUUGCAAUGUACGUAUCUUUGUUAUAUACUCGUGACAUUUCUUAUUUAAACUACGAUCAGGCUAUUGAAAGCGUGUUAAAGUAGGAAUAAAUGUUCUUUCCUAACUAACAUAUCGGAAAUUAGAGAAUAAAUUGUUUGAUAGAACUAUUUUGGAAUAUAUAAAAUGGAAAAUGGUUCUCAUCUGAACUGAAAAAAAUAUACAGAUUUCAAUUCAGGUAAAUGUAAAAUGGCUUACCCGCAUGAAAAUAAAUACGUUUUGUAUACAUUUGCUUUUUUGAUGUUCAUUUCAUCGCAACUGAGACUGACUCUGUCAUAUAAUAUUGAGGUGGAGAAAGUUGGAAUAUCUCGGGGAGAGAAGAAUUCACAGUACGGAUAUACUGUCGCAAUAAUACCAAAACCAGGAUGGAAUGACUUGUCAACUUUCUACAAAAAAGAACUUCUAGUUGGUGCCCCAAAUAUAACGUACAACAACAUUAAAAGUCAUGGACAGGUGUUUAGAUGUACCAUCCCUACAGAUAAGAACAUAACCUGCGAAAAACUUCAUCUGACUGAUGAAAGUAAUCUGUGUGCUAAGGUUUCAAAGAACACCGACAGUGAAUGCACUACUGACAGCAGACUCGGUGCAACAAUGGAAGUCAACAGAAAAUUUCCAGAUAUCAAAUGGGACACAACAAUACCCGAAAUGCCUAUGGUCACAAUAUGUGCUCCGGGCUGGAGAAAUGUUUUCCCCGAGACUAUGCCUGGCAAAUAUCAGAAUUAUAUGACUGGAAUGUGUCUAAAGGUGCGAGAUGAUUUACGAACAUUAUCUUGUGCCGAUCGAAGUUACUGUUGGCCGUUCUGGCCAAACAGAGACACAACAAAUGAAAAGGGGAGACCAGUUUUUACAUUCGCUGAAGGUGGAAUGUCUGCAACAUUCACAAAGGACGGACGAAGCGAAGUAAUUGGUGCCCCGGGUGCUGAUGACUGGCGAGGUGCGUUCAAAAUUAUUCAGAAGAACGUGCUGUAUCGGAUGAAUAGGGAAACAACGACUAAUACACUUUAUUUUGGAUAUGCUAUAGUGACUGGAAAAUUUGGAAGUGCCCAAGAACUGAUUGUGUCUGGGUCUCCAAACUGGAACGAACCGGAUUAUACCGGACAUUUUGGAAAGGUGGAGGCGUUCAAUGGAAAAACUGAAGCUGUCUCAAUAGAAUUCGGCAUACCCAAGGAGGCUUGCCCAAAUCAGCAAUCAUCCGAUCUAAGAUCGUACAUAGACAGCAUAGACGCCCGUCAAACAGGUUCAAAGUUUGGAGCAGCGUUAGCCGCAGUGGAUCUUACAGGUGACGAAUACGACGAACUACUUGUCGGUGCACCACUGUACACUGGCGACAAUCCAGAGGAAGGUCGCGUCUUUGUCUAUAGUUCCUCAGAAGAUGGAAUUUGCGGCCCAAUAGGGAUACUUUCUGGAGGGGCGAAUGUUGCUUCUUUGAAGGACAAGGUAUCAUUUGCUCGCUUCGGUUCAGCUAUAUCGUCAGCCGGAGACCUUGACCACGACUCUUAUAAUGAUGUAGCGAUAGGGGCUCCGUACGAAGAUGACGGUACAGGAGCUAUAUAUAUCUACCCGGGAGUCGGACAGUGUGGCUGCAAAAUGGAAGAUAAAUUCUCCCAACGGAUUGCAGGCAGUGAUCUUGAUGUGGGUAUUCGAACAUUUGGUUGGAGUAUCUAUGGAAACGAGGACAUAGAUGAUAACAGCUUUCCAGAUCUUGCUGUUGGAGCUUACGAAUCAAAUACAGCUUUCAUGUUGAGGGCAAGACCUAUUGUGGACGUUCAUAUAGAAAUGAAGAUGACACCAAAUCCGAUACCGUUAAAUGGUUCCUUGAUAGACUGCUCAACAGAUAGCGAGACGCUUUGUUUUAACGUCCAGGUUUUGUUCCAGUUUAAUGCUGUAGGAACUAGAAAUGGCAACGUGAGCGAAGUUAAGCUCAGAUGGACCCUUGAUUCUGAUACAGUACACAAAAGUAAGGAAGGUUGGAGCCGGGUAAAAUUUAGAGGUCCUGAUGGCACAGGGACGUGGACGGAAAAUAUUACGCUUUCAAGCAGUAUGAAUCGAAAUAACCUUAGAAAAUACGUCAUUGAUGUGAAAGGAUACAGGGGUAAACCAGAACCGAAGGAUGCAUGGACACAAGUUCGUAUGGAAGGACGGUUUGAACUGAUUCCAACAAAGCAAGAUAGUUUUACAGACUUGGAUCCAAUCCUGAAACAUGAUGCCAAGACGCACAUAGUUGAAAAUAUUGAGUUUGACAAGAAAUGCGACAGUAUAACCACGUGCACGUCUGACCUAAAGCUUACGGUAGAGAUGUUUCUGACCAAGGAAGGAGUAGUACCUACUCAAGUUAAAGAGGACACAAACAUAUACAUCGAUGCUGCUAACAUUUUACAGGUAACGGCAGAUACAACGAAUCUGUUUAACUCAUCCUACAGAGCAAACGUCAGUGGUGAAGUAUCAGCUUUGAUGAAGAGAGACGCUUCCCCUAACAAUGGUUUGGUAGGUGCAAGCUGCAAGUACGAAUCUCCACACCAGACAAGCACAACGAUUUACUGUACAGCAGAUAGUAAACUUGAUAGGAAUGAAAAUAUGAAGAUUAAGAUGUAUUUUGACGUAUCCAGGCAACGGCUGAUUCCUGGUAUGGAUAUGAGCAAAAUGAAGGAGUACGUUCAUAUUUCCUUGGUAACAGACCAGGCAAACAAGGAUGUCAACGUGGACAACAAUAUGUUUGAGAGGAAGAUCCCAGUGAAGCUUAAAUUCCAAGUGAUUAUACAGGCAGAUAAAGAGACAUCUGAUCAAAUCAGAUACAAAGCCGACGAGAAGAGUACACGAAAAAUAACCCUUAUUCACCGCUACUUCCUUAUAAAUGAGGGGCCAAGUUUUCUGCCAAAGACGGUUGUUAAUAUCUCAAUACCGUUGUCCAAGGAUGAAGUAGACUUCGCAAUUAUCAAGGACAAGCCGUCUAAGUGUAGUGUCCGCGGUCAUGCUCCGAUAGUCCAGACAACAACGCCAACAUCAACUACGAAGUCAACGACAAAAUUUCCCAUUCCACCGGAAACUGAUGUUGAAAGAAGACGAAGGGAAGCCGAACAAGAACCGAAAACAGCUAAAAGUUCUGCAGACAAACCACAGGAAACGGCUAAAAACAAAAAUAUAACCUGUGAAGAUUAUACAUGUGCAAUAAUUGAAUGUGAAGUGCUAAAUCUGGAACACAAUAAACAAGAGACCAUUGAUAUCACAGUAGACGUUUAUGAAAAGGAACUGGCAAAGGAAAAGGAGGUACGUGAAAUACGCUACGAAACGGUUGCUACAGUUACUGAUCCCUUUAUCUGGUAUGGAGGAAAGGUUGUUCCUUGGGAUAAAACUGUAUAUGCUGAGAAAUGGACAACAUUUGUCGUUGAGCCCACGUCUGUUGUUUCCUGAAGUGAAUAUAUGGAUUAUUAUUGGAAGCGUCUUAGGUGCACUUGCACUCCUGAUUAUUGUCAUAGUAAUCCUAUGGAGGUGUGGAUUCUUUGCACGUAAGAAGCACAGCCAGGUACAGAAAUGGAAGAGAGCCAGUCUGUACAACCGCAAAAGCGUCAGGACGUCGUCGCACGAAAAACAACCUUACACUUCUAUGGAAGAAAAAGAAUUGAAUCAAUAAAC